UAUAUAAUACAAGGCAAGUUGAUGGGCAUAUGCUUUCAUUAGCUCGGGGCCCUGAGAAAAGGGCUGUUUUUUAUCGUGGUUACAAUGUUAACGGGUUUAGAUUUCAUACAAAUCAAUGUGAUGAAAGUAAAAGAACACAAAAUAAUGGAGUUAUGGUGAGAGGGGAGGAUCAAAGUUGCAAUGUGCCUUAUUAUGGACAACUAACAGACAUUGUUGAACUUCAAUAUACUGAAGGGAACAAAGUUGUGUUGUUUAAAUGUGAUUGGUAUGAUGUAUCUCGGGAAGGAAUUGGUUAUAAGAGAGAUCGGCACGGAACCACUAUUGUUAAUACAUCACGAAAGUUGAAAACUGUAGAGCCAUUUGUAUUAGCAAGUCAAGCAACUCAAGUUUACUAUGUUAAUGGAAUAAAAGAUCCCACAUGGAAUGUUGUGAUUGAAACCAAACCACGAAACCUUUAUGAAAUGCCAUCAGAUGAAGAAGAGCCAUACCAAGAAGAAGACAAUUUACAUUGUAAUGCAAAUGUGCUGCAAGAAGAAAAUGAGGAUGAUGAUAUAGAUUGGAGAAGGAGUGGCGUUGAGAAUAUGAUAAUCGAGUGAUUUCAAAGGCUUACAGGCUCAACUCCAUCACCGUAUUUGGCUUCAUCUAGAUUAGUUAUCCAUGUGCAUAAUACUAAGGAUGCUUAUUGAAAUAGAAAUUUAGUCACAGACAAGGUCAUUUGCUCAGUUAUCCCAUUCAUACCACUAAAAAAGGAGAGGUUAAAGUGCUACCUGAGACAGAAUUCUCCCCAGACACAAAGGCUAAAGUUCUUGGAUCCAAGUCUAAAUUACUGCCUCCAAUUCUCACCACUUAAUUGCCUUGCACUGAUUUUAAAACUGAUUUUUUUUUUUUUUUUUUUUUUUGUUUAUAUUAUUUCCCAGUACUGAGUGAUUGGCAUUCACUAAUUGCUAUGUGUUGUGGAUAUGUAAAUUACAUUUUCUCUGUAGUCUAGUUCAUGCAACUUUCCAAAGA